GUUUGUCCAAUGCAUUUCUGUACAUCUGUAGAUAAGCUAAAUAUAAUUGAAUUGUCUUUCCUUUGUUUGUUUCAGCUUAUUUUAGAAAUCUUGCACGAAGUGUUAUUCUUUUAGUUGUCGAUCAUAUGUGUUCUUUAUUUAAUAAGGCAUACUUAAGGCGGUAGUUAGAUAUUUAUAAAUUUUAAGCAUCCUGUGUAGUGCUAAAUUAGUAGCAUACUUAAUUUUCUUUUAUUACUAUUGUUU
rnacentral:misc_RNA from 1 species